AUAGCCUCCUGAGCUUUUUGCUUCCAGGGCAACAAGUCGAGAGGGGGGCUUCUUUGGCCAGGGCUGCUGUGAAAUCUGGUGUAGGGCUGGGCCGGCCGGUCCGAGUCUGUCGGACUCCACGUAUAGGAGAAACGACGGAUGUCUAAGGAGCUUGUGGGGCGUUUAAUCCGGGCUCAUCCCUGGCACUUGGGGUGCAGGCCUGGCCCCUCUCUGGGGUGUGUUGAGGGUGAGCUCUGGGUUUGCAUUCAUGCCCCUGACUUGCUGUUGCUACAGGCCUCCCUUCAGUCUUGGGAACAGCGCUAUGUCCUGUGUGCCUGGGGGUGUCACUGGUGUCUCUCUCUUUCUACCUCUUUGCAAAAUGUCUGCAGCACUUGUUCUUUUUCUGCUCUUGUCAGGACUGGAGGGAAGGCUGUGGUGGGUUUUUUCCUGCCACCUAAAAUGGUUUCCACCUCGGGGAGGGGUCUGACUGCACCCUGUGUGCCCUGUUUAGGCUGGGUGGGGGUAUCGCCUUUGAAUUCUCGGGGGUUGCUUUUGCCCUCAGGGCUGUGAGUCCCGUGUGCCGCGUGACUUUUCCUAAUUUAUUUUUGUUUUGGUGACAUGUACGGGAGUCAUCUGGCUGAGGCUCGAGGCUCCUAAGUGGGCAUCGGGAAGAAGAGGUGGAGAUAUAGCGCCUGUGACCUGAGGAAGCUGGUGAAAGAAACGGAUGUCGGCGCAUUCGCUUUGCGGUUGCCCGGCGUGAGACUUCUGCCUGUGUGGUGGCCCUGGGCUGGAAGCCUUGCUGUGUGAAGCCUGCGAUAGGUUGUUUUGGGCCAGACGAUUGGAUUUGUGUUGGCGUGCCUGUUGCUGUUGCGAGAGGGCCUUCGCAGUGCUGGGAAUGAUGUUGGAUUGCUGCUCCCUGUGUGGUGAGAAGGAUUGGCUGCAAUGACUGGAGGCCUGGAAAAGGAGCCGUGUGGCCAGGGUCCUGGCCUGCACGGAGGCAAGUAGGUGAGAGGACUGCAUCGUGGAAGAGCCGUGGGACAGUGUUGGAUGACAGACACGGACCGGCCGGAUGUUGCCCGCUACGUUGGAAUGUCCCUUCUGUAUUGGGAUUCUGCGUGGGGGUGUGGGGUGGGUUUGGGAGUGUCCUCAGCUUUAUGAUCCUGGAGCCAGGGGUUUGCAAGUAGUAUGUUUGGGUCAGUUUGUCUGUGCUGUGGGUGGACCGAGGGUGACCAGAGGUGAAAUCCAUUCCUGUGACCCUGUAGUUGGACGAGCACCCAGACACUUGCAGGAACCGCUGGGCAAGCAGGCCCAGAGCUUUCAACUGUUGAGCACGGCAAUGCUGGAGCCAGCUAGCAUGGAAGCAGAAGGGCCGGCCGGGCGCGGGGCCUGGGCUGCCUCUGUGGCUUCUGUGCUAGUGAGGUUGAGAAUUGCAGUGCUGGGGGGUUGGAGGUUUUGGACCUGCUUGUGCAGGGUUCUUGUUGGUGUUGGGGUGCUGGUUCUGCUGGGUCAGAGCAAUGGGUUUUAUUCUGCCUGACUGCCAUGUUUACCGUGUCCUACAGGGCUGGGAACCUGUCGUAGCAGUGUGUGUUUGGCUGGGGCGGGGUGGUUGUCUGGUUUGGUCUCUGAGCAGUGUGGUGAGCAUGUUUGUUAUUACCCUGAAAUAAAAUAGUUUUCUGAUAGCCUACUGUUAGGCUAACAAUAAUUUAGAUUAUUAAGAAGUAUUAGCUUUGCAGUUGAAUACAAGGCAUGACCUGUGGCCUAGCAAUGCCGCUGACCACAAGGCAGAAUGAUAGCUAAGCCUUUGCUUAUGUUAAGUAAUCAUUUUAACUGUGUUGACUAUUUUCUGAGUAAAAUGCAGCAAGUGAAUCUGUCUGUGUGCUGUAAACCAGAUACAGCAAGGAACAAGGUAAGAGGAAGAAGGCAUUGUUCUAAGUACAGUGAUCGUGUCCUUAAGAAGUAUCUAGUACUGUGCAAAUUUUUGCUAAGAUAUCAUAAUGUUACUGUUACUUAUGUUAGAAAAUAUUGUUGGAAAAUCAAUGUGACCUUUGUAUGACCUUUGGUCAAUGCUGGCUGAUGCAACCUUGCAGUAAGAUUGCCAUGAUCUGUCAAUAUAGGCGGGCAAACAAGGUGAUUGGGCCCAACCGUGCGGGGUGAGCAAAGCCAAGCCAUCUUGGUGAUUUCCUCUGAGUUUUGCGCAUGCGUUAUGAAGGAGCUUAUGUAACCAGAGUUUAUAAAUCUAUGUGUUGAGUUGCAGUCAGGGGGUCUCUCUGCCCUUACGAGGACAGGGGACCUUUGGUCGAAUAAACUGAAAAGACCACGCCCUCGUCUCCUGCUUAUUGGAGUCUCAGGUGGGAAACGAGCCCUGUUCUGGUUAAGAGAGUCUGCAGGUGUUCCCUUACCAGAUUGGGAGCCUGGUCAGACAAUUUCUCUCACAAUUUGGCGAGCCAGCCAGGAGCACCCAGCUCGUCGCGUCGCCGCUGCCGCCUAAACCCAACCUCUGGCCGGCCGUAACAGAGGUGAGUUCACCAUGGGAGUCUUGGGUUAAGGCUGCAGACACGGCGGGACGAUAAGGUGACUCCUUCAAUUUUACUGGCAUGGUGUGGUCUUUUAUAUGUUGUGUAUGUCUUGUCUAACGUGUUAUAGGCCAGUCUGUUCUCCGGAUCCUCAAACCUGGGCACACAGGCAAUUUUAGUUAAUUGCCCGUUCGACUCUUUUGAGCCGAUAAAUCUGUGUGGCGCAUUUUAUGUCUCCAUUCACGCACCGAGGAACCGUCUCUGUUUCUGACCUUUUAACUGGAUAAGUCCUCCAACCUGUUUGAGGCAUCCUAGAAGCCUGCCUUUCCAGGUUGGUUAGGUCUAGGGCAGCCAAGAAAGCAGGGUUUUUGGGGAGGUUAAUAGUAUAUCAGGUCAUCUGGGAAAGGGAUGUCCGCCAAGAAUGACGAUGGGACAGAAACAGUCAAUUCUGGCUAGUAGUCCUCUUGGAGAAUUGUUAAGCAACUGGAAUAAGUUAUCUGGACAUGGCCAAUUGAGUAAGAAGCGCGCUAUAGCCUUAUGUACUAGUGUCUGGCCCGGCUACACUUAUAAAAACCCUGAACUUCAGUGGCCAGUGUUGGGAUCCCUCAGUGUAGAUAAAUGAAGGUACCUCAGGGGGUUCCUAGAGGAACCCCAUCCCCGACUAAUGGAUUAUUGGUAUCUCUGGUGUGAUUUGAUGGAUUUAAUUCUGCAGAGGAAAAAAAAAACUGAUUACUUCUGGCCGCUCAACAACGUCUGUGGUGUCUUCUCCCCCUUAUUCUCCCGCUAUGCCACCAUUGGUGACUAGGGGACCAGCCAUAAUAAACCCGGCCGCUUAGGCCGUGGCCCUUCCGGCACCUUUUACCCCUCCAUCAGGCUCCUCUCCUCCCGUAACAGGAGUGUCAGGGUCUGUACCUGCCUCCUCGGAGCCUACUUUCAGUCCCAUAGCAGGACAUACUAGGUAGCGUUUGAAUCAGGUCAUACAUCUGCUCUUGUACACAUGUAAUGACAUCUGCACACCCCCAUCACACAUGCAGUCACGCCUGCUCAGAGUCCCUUACAGACAUGCGCCUGCACAGAACCCCAAAACACACUGCGACAUACACAUGUGCCCCAACAGGUGUCCGUGACACACUUGCACACAAAUGUGCAUCCUCGCACACAUGCAUGUGCAGUCUCACACACGUACCCAGAGCCCAGGUGCUUGUGACACGUGCAUGCUCACACACACAUGGAACUCAGGUGUCUGACACACAUGCAUAUGUGCUCUCGCGGACACAGUCUAGCACACAUGUACAGAACCCAAGUGUCUGUGGCACACAGGCAAGUACCCUGACAUAUUCACAUUCACACACACACAACCCCACUUGGGUAGAUAUGAAUCAACCUGCCCCCAAUGAUGUGUGCAAUUAUUGUAAACAAUUUGGGGCAUUGGAGACGAGAACGCCCAAACUGCCCUAAGGGACUUCCCCCUUAUGGAGGAAGAAAGGGGGGAACCCAGGGAAACAACCGGGCUGCCAGCACCGAUCCUACAGAUCCCUGGGUCCAGAGUUUGCAACAAGAUAUAGAUGACUCCCAGUGAAAUAAGGGGGCGGCUCUUCCACACGAUGUAUUUAGGGGAAUCUUCCUCUUUUGAGUAUACCUGCGCCCCUUCAUCCCCUUAUGUAGCACUUCAAAUAGCAGGAAAAUUUAUAAAUGUCUUAUAGAUAGAGGAGCAGAUCUGUCCUCACUGGGAGAAUCUCCAGAAAGGGCGGGAAUUGCAGUCUCAGGAUCUGAAAAGAUUAUGAGAGUAAUUGGAAAAUCUAUGCAAGUGCCCCGUGGCACUGAAACACAAGUGCAGAUAGGACCCUUGACCACCAUUCAUGCUUUCGUAUUAGCUGAAGGAACUGUAGUGCACCUCCUUGGAAGAAAUCUACUCUAUAAACUACAGACCAGAAACCCUUCACCCUACUUACUCAUGAGAAUCAAGGCGUUGCUUCAGGUGUCUUAACUCAGCCAUGGGGAGUUUCUAAUCGUCCCAUAGCAUACUAUUCUGCUCAGUUAGAUCCUGUAGCAAGGGCAGCAAUUGUCUGUCUUAGAGCAGUCGCUGCUGCCGCUGUGCUAGUUCAAAAGGCUCAAGAUUUAGUGUUAGGACACUCUCUUGUGGUUGAAAUAUCUCAUUCAGUGGAAGCUCUCCUACUAUAGCAGAACCUCUGCCAGCAGGGACCAACGCCCAGGCCGCUGAGCUAGCGGCACUCUGACGAGCAUGCAAAUUGGCCACAGCCUCCAGGGUCACUAUCUAUACUGACUCUAAAUAUGCUUUUAGUAUCUGUCAUGCGCUAGGACGGUCCUGGUGACAAAGAGGUUUUAUCACGUCCUCUGAUGCUGUAAUCAGCAAUGCCACGGAAGUCCAAGAACUGCUAGAGGCUGUCGUGUUACCAGGUGAUAUAGCGGUAAUGCACGGUCCCAGACAUUCCAGAGAAGAUACUGACAUCGCUAAAGGAAAGCAUCUCGCAGAUGCUGUAGCUAGAGCCGCUGCACUACAAACUAAAGGAAGUCUCCUUGCAUCUCAAGUUGUUCUUCCACCCUUGUCUGUUAUUUAUGACAAAGUCCCAGCGGAUGAAGUAUCUAUAUGGGUCCAAAAGUGGGAAGCUGCGCAAGGAAAGGAUGCAGUGUGACGUGUGCCAGACGGUAGACCAAUUGCUCCUCGCACCUUGCUCCGAAGUCUGGCUCAGGAUGCCCACAGAUGCUGUCAGUCGGGAAAAGGAGAAAUAGCAGAACAGGUCCUCUCCACCUGGUUUGCUCCAGGUAUACAUCUAGAAGCUGCCCGAAUAACUCUGCAAUGUUCAGAGUGCAGAGCCUUCAACAAAUACAGAGGACACACAAAAUUACAAGGGGCCCGACCGUGGGCCUAUUUACCCUUUGAAAAACGACAUGGAUUUGCUCAAAGGUGUAAAUUUCAAGCACUGCCUAGUAGUGGUAGAUCAAGUAACAGGAUGGCCAGAAGCUUUCCCCACUCGAGAAGCGGAUUCAGUAGCAGUAGCCAAACCCGUAUUAAAAGAAAUCAUCCCACAUUUCGGCAUUCCAGGAGGAAUAAACUCUGACCGGGGAACUCACUUUACAGAAACUGUUUUAAAAGAAGUUUACAGAGUUUUUGGAAUAACAACAUACUUCCACGCACCCUAUCGCCCUCCGUCCUAGGGUCAGGUAGAGAGUAUGAAUCAGAGUAUAAAAUCCCUUUUAGGAAAGAUCUGCUCCUAAACCAAAUUGAAAUGGUCAGAUGCUUUACCAAGGGUGCUGUUUGCUAUAAGAACAAAACCCAAAUGGCCUCUCAACCUUGUCCCCCUAUGAGUUGUUGUUUGGUCACGCUCCUGUUAUAUAAGAGAUGGGAAAAUCUGCAUGUUAGCUUACUCGGCGGAGAUGAAGCUUUAAUUAGUUAUGUUUUAUCCUUACAGGAGUCUCUCUAGUGUUUACACAGGUCAGCUGCUUUGGUUCAGCCGGUACCCCUGGACUGUAACCUUCACUCCUAUCAAUCAGGACGCUGAGUUUGGGUAAAACAACAUCGGCGAAAAACCGCCUCGGCCCAAGUCUGGGCAGGUCCGUACCAAGUUCUUCUUACUAUAAACGCUGCUGUGAAAAUCGCCGAGAAAGAGGGCCGGAUUCAUCGCGGUCGCCUCAAACCUGGUAUCGGCAAGUAAUGACCGGUCAGCUGCUGUUCCGCCUUUGUGGCUAGAAAGAAUCGGAGAAUCGUGGACCGUUCAGACUCCUUAAUAGAAAUGAUACGUGUAUUAAGCUUGCUUUGUAUUAUCUUUCUUGUUAUACUUUGUGUUUGUAUUUCACUGUGGAUGCAGGGAAGGUUAUAAGUUAAUAAUGGCAUUUCACCGGGCUAUCCUAACAGGAUUAUUGCUCUUGAUGCAUAAAACACCAUGGCUAUUUAUGGGAAAGCGAUACAGAACAGGAAGACCAUUGGAAAGAUAAUACUUACCUGAUUUCCACUAUAGCUAUAGCACAGGCCCUAAAAUUUGUCUAAUGGUUGGAUAUGUGGUACACAGUCUCCUUCUACUAACUUUCCACCCUAUCCUUUAAUCUCUUGGGAAGGGAUUUUUUCUAAUCCAGAGUGGGUUGAUACGGUUAGAGCUGGAAUAAGUACCUGGCAGGACAAUCCUUAUUUUAAAGAGAGAGUACUUUCAGACAUCAUGUUAUCUGCCCAGGUGUGUUGGGAAAAUCCUCAUGGAAUAGGAAAAGAGAUUUUUAGGAUGGCAACCAGGUUGUAAACUAACCAUUAAUGCCACACACUUAAUUUGGCCUAACAAUACUGCAGUGGGGACUAAAGAAGCUGAAAAGAAAGGUUACAUCCCCUGGAAUGUGUCUGCUCCCUGCAGUUCCUUGCAGCGUCCUUAUGUAUGGCAAUGUAUGGAAGGUUCCAUCCGAUGCUCCGCCCCUAAUAAAACUUGGGCUUGGAGUCACGGCUGUUUCACGUCUUGCACAUACAGCUCCUUUGCAAAGCCAAGUUGUUCAUAUGUUAACUAUACCAUUUACAGAGACGGUUCAGUACCUUGCCCCAGAGAUCCUCAUACUACCGCAUCAAUCAACUAGCACAUGCGUUAGAACUUAUUGCCAAUAGCACAGCAGAGGGCAUUGAAUUAGUGCAAGACCAGGCUUCUUGCAACCAUGCUAUGACUUUAGAAAAUCGCUUCGCUUUAGACUAUUUGUUAGCUAGAGAAGGAGGGGUAUGUGCUUUAAUCACAGGAGGACCCUGCUGCACCUAUAUUCCUGACCACUCUGACAACAUAACUGCUGCAGUAAAAACAAUUCGAGACACAGCACGACUUCUUUGCGAAGCUGGUCAGUAAUAGAACGGAUUGCCUCAACUUUAGGAAUGUGGGGAAGGUAUAUCUUAGAAUACAUUUUAUGGGGAUUAGGAAUCUUCUUGGUUAUUAUUGUAAUAAUUGCUGUAAUUAUAGCCUGUGUAGUUUGAGUUAAGCAAAAAGUAAUUAAUCUCAAUAUUAUGCAAACCUGGGAAAUGGCCAGCAGGCCUUAGGCCUGUGGCUGUAAGCGGGGAAAUAAACGGCAGUAAAUCUUUACCUGCGUUGCUUGGUUUCUAUUGCAGCUAGAGAACAAACUUCUGGGAGUUUUCUCCCACCACAGCAGGAAGGAGGAUGUUGAAGGUUUCUGAGCCAUAAGCUCGAGCCCUCUUUUUGGAAGGGGUGUUAGAAAAUAUUGUUAGAAAAUUAAUGUGACCUCUGUAUGACCUUGGAUCAAUGCUGGCUGAUGCAACCUUGCACUAAGAUUGCUGCUGAUAUGUCAAUCUUGGCAGACAAGCAAGGUGAUUGGGCCCAACCAUGCGGGGUGAGCAAAGUCAUGCCAUUUUAGCAAUUUUCUGCUGGGUUUUGCGCAUGUGUUAUGGGAAAGGCUUAUGUAACCAAAAUUCAUAAAUAUGCGUUGAGUUGCAGUUGGGGUCUCUCUGCCCUUAUGAGGACAGGGGACCUUCAGCCAAAUAAACUGAAAAGACCACACCCUCGUCUCCUGCUUAUUGGAGUCUCAGCUGGGAUAUGAGCCCCGUUAGGGUUAAGAGAGUCUGCAGGUGUUCCCUUACCAGAUUGGGAGCCUGGCCAGACAAUUUCUCUCAUGGGGAAAGCAGAGCCGUCUGUUACUCAGCUUUGUUUUGUUGUUGUCCCUAGUGGAGGUAUUGCAAAAAUGUAUCAUCUCACUACACAAAAGGCUUCUCAGCUGAAAACUGUAAACUGCAAAUUGUUUCUUCUUCUCUCUCCCCCAUCACUGCGGGGCCAGGAGCGCGGGGGGGGGGUCGUGUUAGGGGGAGAGAACAAUGCUGCUUCAUGAUAAGGCUGACUCCUGUGGGAACACAGAUUAGUUACUGCCUGCUUUGCACAUAAACUUUGCAGAAAACUGUAGCAAAUCACAGAUUGCCACAAUGGAAUCUUGUUCAGGAGAGGUAUAAAAAUGUAUCUUUGGGCAUGGCUAGGGGUCAACAUGACUUUGAGCUUUGAGCUCCGUUGUCGAUCUGUUUGCAAACAAACAUACUUGAAAUGGAUCCAGCCUAAGUAUGUAUAACUCUCUCUUGAGGUAUAUGGAAAAAGCCUCCAGAAACACGAAUCUAGCUGGUUGUGCAACAGAGGCACAACUGGGAAGCACCCCCCUCCCCCUGUCAGCUUAACCACCCUCUCGUCCGUCCAAGGCCCCUGCCUUGUAGUGUCUCUUGGGCCUGUGUGGUGUUGCUGGUCGUUGUGUUUUUUGGGGGGGGGGGUGUGAGGGGUGUGCAGCCAAGGUGAUGGCUCCUGUGGAGAAGGGGAGUAGAAGCAGAAGUAGUUACGAAGAGUCUGGGUGCUGGGCUGAUGUCGUGGGAGAAAACUCCCUGGUGUUCGUUGUCUAGCUGGCUUAGAGACCAGACAACAGGGGUGAAGGGGUAACUGCAGUUUAUCUACUCGAGUAAAGACCAUAAAACAGCAAAAAGGUAAAAUGGCCUCGACUUAAGGGUGAGGCUGUCUUAUAUACAUUUUCUAACAAAGAAACUACAAGGUUAUUGAAUGUGCAAUACUUAUGGUAAUCAUCUCCUUACAUGGUGCAUUACAAAUCUCAGUACUUUUGCAGAGGAAAAAAGUUAGUGUUAUCUUACACAUUCCAAUCUGUUUUCCUGUGCUCUGCUGUACCAUCUUCUUCCCUCUGCCCCCCCCCGCCUUAUCUAAUCCGACUCCUAGCUGCAGCUGGUACCCGGUACACAGACUUAACCAUUUUGUUAGAAAAAAGCAGAAAUUAAGGCACUUGACAUAAGAAAAUGACUGGCUUAGAGAUCAUUCUGUCUUGUGGUCAGUAAGAUUGCUAGGCCACAGGUCAUGCCUUAUGUUUAGCUACGAAGCUAAUACUAUUUAAUAAUCUAAAUUACCCUGAAAUAAAAUAGUUUUCUGUAGUAUACUGUUAACAAUAAAGAGAAAGCCAUCACUUUGAGUGUGAGGUGGAAGAGGUGCCAGGAGGAUGUGUGGGGUGUGGCUUGUGCCCUGGUGUGUGCUUGGUGGGGUGAGAGAGGUGCGAAGCUGCCUGGGUGUGGUGGGAUGGUGCUGUGCUCCCUUGCUUGUUUGCUUUGUUUGGUGAUGUUUGUGUGUGUCCUUGUGUUGUUUGUGUUUUGCCUGUUUGUUGUGAGGCUGGCAAUAUUUUCUUCCUGGUGGUUUGUUUUGUACAUGGCUGUUUGCUCACCUCCUGUCUGCUGAGUUUUUUGUAUGUAACAUGUAGAGGAACUUGUGGGCCAACCUGGAAAAAUAAAAUAAAAGGAGAAAUGGUUUUGGCA